rnacentral:lncRNA from 1 species
CGCAAAUCUUACGUCACUUCCUCUCUUUGCCAGCAUUGCGACAUUCAAUAUAUUUGAAUGAUGCGCUUAGCGCCCAGUUAGCUUCUAGCAUUUCUCGACAGCUCUGCCUCAUUUUCGACUGCCCGGGACAUUUAAACAAUGGAUGUAUACAAGCAAAUUCAUGCUUUUCUCCUCAAUGGAGAGCUUCCCCCGACUGAAGACCUGCGCCGUAAAAUAAGGAGAAUGGCACCUAAUUACAAACUGAAGGAUGAAAAAAAUACAACUCUGUCAUAUAUACCCUAUAUAUAUGGUUUUAAAAGUUAAUUUCAAUUGAAGACAACAGACUCUUCUACACUGGCCCCAGUAUGCAGUGCAUGCGCUUGGUAGUCAUGUCAGAGGAGGAGAAGAAGUCAGUUCUGAUGGAAUGCCACAAUAACCCUGGUACCGGGAAUCACAAUGGUGUUAGAGGUACCCUCUUAAAUCCAAGACUGCAGCUGAGGUCUCUGCAAUCAUGACCUCUAAGUUAUACACGUUUGGCAUGGUCAGGAAAAUCAUCACUGACCAAGGAAAGGAGUUUGUGAACCAGCUCAACAACAGCAUUUUCAGCAUGCUGAAUAUUAAACAUGCUGUCUCCAGUGCGUAUCACCCCCAGACCAACGGGCAGGUAAGCAUUUGGAUAGCUAACCUUGAGUCACUCAUGUGAAAUCAGUCAUGCUUAUUCAUCUAUUCUACAAUAAAACUCAAAGGAUGAGAGGACCAACCAGAACAUCAAGCGUGCUCUCAGAAAGUAUGUUAACCAGAACCAUG